rnacentral:rRNA from 1 species
AUUGAACGCUGGCGGCAGGCUUAACACAUGCAAGUCGAGCGGGGGAAGGUAGCUUGCUACCGGACCUAGCGGCGGACGGGUGAGUAAUGCUUAGGAACCUGCCUAUUAGUGGGGGACAACAUCUCGAAAGGGAUGCUAAUACCGCAUACGUCCUACGGGAGAAAGCAGGGGAUCUUCGGACCUUGCGCUAAUAGAAGAGCCUAGGUCGGAUUAGCUAGUUGGUGGGGUAAAGGCCUACCAAGGCGACGAUCUGUAGCGGGUCUGAGAGGAUGAUCCGCCACACUGGGACUGGGACACGGCCCAGACUCCUACGGGAGGCAGCAGUGGGGAAUAUUGGACAAUGGGGGGAACCCUGAUCCAGCCAUGCCGCGUGUGUGAAGAAGGCCUUAUGGUUGUAAAGCACUUUAAGCGAGGAGGAGGCUACUCUAGUUAAUACCUAGGGAUAGUGGACGUUACUCGCAGAAUAAGCACCGGCUAACUCUGUGCCAGCCGCCGCAGUAAAAC